rnacentral:rRNA from 1 species
AGCGGCGGAUGGGUGAGUAACACGUGGAGGAACCUGCCCCUAAGUCUGGGAUACCAUUUGGAAACAGGUGCUAAUACCGGAUAAUAAAGCAGAUCGCAUGAUCAGCUUUUGAAAGGCGGCGUAAGCUGUCGCUAAGGGAUGGCCCCGCGGUGCAUUAGCUAGUUGGUAAGGUAACGGCUUACCAAGGCAACGAUGCAUAGCCGAGUUGAGAGACUGAUCGGCCACAUUGGGACUGAGACACGGCCCAAACUCCUACGGGAGGCAGCAGUAGGGAAUCUUCCACAAUGGACGCAAGUCUGAUGGAGCAACGCCGCGUGAGUGAAGAAGGUUUUCGGCAUCGUAAAGCUCUG